AACGAACGCUGGCGGCAUGCCUAACACAUGCAAGUCGAACGAGACCUUCGGGUCUAGUGGCGCACGGGUGCGUAACGCGUGGGAACCUGCCCUUAGGUUCGGAAUAACUCCCCGAAAGGGGUGCUAAUACCGGAUAAUGUCUUCGGACGAAGGAUUUAUCGCCUCUGGAUGGGCCCGCGUUGGAUUAGCUAGUUGGUAGGGUAAUAGCCUACCAAGGCGACGAUCCAUAGCUGGUCUGAGAGGAUGAUCAGCCACACUGGGACUGAGACACGGCCCAGACUCCUACGGGAGGCAGCAGUGGGGAAUAUUGGACAAUGGGCGAAAGCCUGAUCCAGCAAUGCCGCGUGAGUGAUGAAGGCCUUAGGGUUGUAAAGCUCUUUUACCCGGGAUGAUAAUGACAGUACCGGGAGAAGAAGCCCCGGCUAACUCCGUG
rnacentral:rRNA from 1 species